GAUGAACGCUAGCUACAGGCUUAACACAUGCAAGUCGAGGGGUAGCAGGGUAGCAAUACCGCUGACGACCGGCGCACGGGUGAGUAACACGUAUCCAACCUUCCCAUAACUCAGGGAUAGCCUUUCGAAAGAAAGAUUAAUACCUGAUAGUACUUAAGAAAGGCAUCUUUUUUAAGUUAAAGAUUUAUUGAUUAUGGAUGGGGAUGCGUUCCAUUAGAUAGUUGGUGAGGUAACGGCUCACCAAGUCUUCGAUGGAUAGGGGUUCUGAGAGGAAGGUCCCCCACAUUGGUACUGAGACACGGACCAAACUCCUACGGGAGGCAGCAGUGAGGAAUAUUGGUCAAUGGGCGAGAGCCUGAACCAGCCAAGUAGCGUGAAGGAUGAAGGUCCUAUGGAUUGUAAACUUCUUUUAUAGUAGAAUAAAGUGAGCCACGUGUGGUUUUUUGUAUGUAUACUAUGAAUAAGGAUCGGUUAACUCCGUGCCAGCAGCCGCAGUAA
rnacentral:rRNA from 1 species